UAGGGAAUCUUCCGCAAUGGACGCAAGUCUGACGGAGCAACGCCGCGUGAGUGAAGAAGGAUUUCGGUUCGUAAAACUCUGUUGUUAGAGAAGAACAGCGCAUAGAGUAACUGUUAUGCGUGUGACGGUAUCCAACCAGAAAGCCACGGCUAACUACGUGCCAGCAGCCGCGGUAAUACGUAGGUGGCAAGCGUUGUCCGGAUUUAUUGGGCGUAAAGCGAGCGCAGGCGGUCAAUUAAGUCUGAUGUGAAAGCCCCCGGCUCAACCGGGGAGGGUCAUUGGAAACUGUUUAACUUGAGUGCAGAAGGGGAGAGUGGAAUUCCAUGUGUAGCGGUGAAAUGCGUAGAUAUAUGGAGGAACACCGGUGGCGAAAGCGGCUCUCUGGUCUGUAACUGACGCUGAGGUUCGAAAGCGUGGGUAGCAAACAGG
rnacentral:rRNA from 1 species